AACAGGAGUAAACACAUAAGAGCUUCUCUCAGAGUCUGUCCACAAGUUUGCCCAGAAACCACGGGGGUCAUCUUCUGCUUCCUGGUUCACUUGCUCUGGGAGAAGGCUACUGGCAGUUCGAAGGACACUCAUUCCUAAGGAAAAAGUCCAUGAGUUGAGGAACUACUACCACCUACUUACAACCCUUUGGAACUGAGCCCUUGUACCAAUAGCCAUGAAAGAGAUGAUAGCAACUGUGCACAGCCACCUCCCCUGAAGCCCUGCCAGAUGCCAGGAUCUCUGAUGAUCCCCUCCCCCCCCACGCAUUCUGUAAGUCCUGGAGAAAUGUUUAUAGAUUUAAUGA